rnacentral:rRNA from 1 species
UAACCUACGGGGCGCAGCAGUGAGGAAUAUUGGUCAAUGGCCGAAGGGCUGAACCAGCCAAGCCGCGUGAAGGAAUAAGGCCCUACGGGUCGUAAACUUCUUUAGUCAGGGAACAAAGGGUGCCACGUGUGGCGCUGUGAGUGUACCUGAAGAAUAAGCAUCGGCUAACUCCGUGCCAGCAGCCGCGGUAAUACGUAGGGUGCAAGCGUUAUCCGGAUUUAUUGGGCGUAAAGGGCUCGUAGGCGGUUCGUCGCGUCCGGUGUGAAAAUUCAUCGCUUAACGGCGG